GUGCAGGCAUGAAUCACCCAGGUUGUGAAUCACUGAGGUCUUCUUGAAGAACUACAGUUUACAGAUGAGUAACCUGUCAUUUUGAUUUAAGAAUCAAAAGACCAGCCUUGAUGCAUGAAACAAGGGCCACUGUAGGGGAAGCUUUUUCACCUUUGAUGCCCUAGGUUGUAGUGGAGUCUACCAGGCCAGCAGGAACGAUCAUAUGGAAGGUGAUUGGUAUACCAGACCCAGUUGAGCCAGCAGAUGUCUGUUGUGCCCAGGAAUUGAUAAACCAUACUUCCAACCCACAAGGAAGCUCUUUUUCUAGCAUUGUGUCUCCAACAGCUGACAGUGUGAAGCAUUGGGGAAAUGUACAAGCAGGUCUUACAGACUGACAUCACCACCCACUCUGGAAAUUUCUAUUGUAGCAUUCUCCACAUGUUCCUACAGCCAUAUGACUGCCUCCAUUCCCAUUACCCUGUGCUCAUCUAAAAGGACAUUGAGAUUGGAGCCACUGCUGUUUUAUUCACCUGUAUGUUGUAAAGAGUCAACAGAGCUUUUUAAUAUACAAACACAGAAUUUGUCCUCUCAGUGUUGAUCUUUAUGAAGCCAAAAUGAUAUUGUUAGAAAUGGCAGAACCACGUAGUUUGCAGAUUGAAACAUUAGAGUACAGCAUGUGAUUGGCUGUUGGGGUGGGCUAGGAAAUCUCGAGGAGAGAGGAAGUUGGGUACAGUGCCCGGGAAAAGUGUUUCAUUGACUGACUGAACCUCUGAAUAGGAGCACUCCACUCUGCAACGCUUUGUUACAAGUCCUAUUGGUGGCAGGUUGUGUAUUUUGAACAGUAAUUAGGGGCCAGGUAUAGAUUCAUCAGAAAAUAUGUCAGGAAAGGGGCUUUGACCUACAGCUGGCUCAUUUGUAGUCUACUUUUUCAAGUGUUCUAGAUGGAAUGGUUCUGUGCUGCUAGCUAAGGGGUACUUGUUGGAAAGUUGUGUUCCCAGAAAGCUGUUGACCUAUGCUUCGUUUUACUAAAUGUACUACAUUUAUGAGUUCAGAGAGAUGCCUGUAUAUUGUGCAAGGUCUCUGACGUCUUCCAGAAAAUUGAUACUACCUGAAAAAAUAAUA